rnacentral:rRNA from 1 species
ACGCUCGACACCUACGGGGGCAGCAGUAGGGAAUCUUCUACAAUGGACGCAAGUCUGAUGGAGCAACGCCGCGUGAGUGAAGAAGGUCUUCGGAUCGUAAAACUCUGUUGUUAGAGAAGAACACGAGUGAGAGUAACUGUUCAUUCGAUGACGGUAUCUAACCAGCAAGUCACGGCUAACUACGUGCCAGCAGCCGGACGGUAAUCUGAGGCGGGUCGUGGACGAAGGC